CUCGAUUAUUUACAGACUGCCGCCAUAUAGCUGGAAUAUUGCUGAAUGCAGCAUAAAACUCAACUCACUCACUCAGUGUAUACAAACCUGUGAAGGAUGUUAGAUUACUGCUGGUCAGACAAUACCUGCUUCAUCAUUGCGUACUUAAAACUGUGAGCUAUGUCAGCUAUACGAGUAUCAGCAUACAAUUUCCCUUGGGGAGAUUCUUGGGUGGAUUAAAUCCCAACUAUCACAUGCUUGUAUAAGAACUAAUAAGCAGCAGAGUCCCGAUUUACGAAGUGUUCGCAGCACCUCAGAUGGUGAACUACAGACAAAUCGUGAUAUAAUUACUGGAUUACUAGAAAAUCACAGAUAUAUUUUUUGUUCUGUUCCAUGAUUUGCCAAAAAACGAGAAUCGAGAAUGUAUUCUUUCAAAGAGCCAGUUAUGGCUUAACUAACUAGUCCACAAAAACAUUCUUGUUUGUAAGGCACACUGGUCAAUGCCCACAUGCUCAAAGCGAUUUUACCCUUAUAAUGAACAAAACUCCCAUACAUCGACUUUAAAAUAUUCGUAGUCACAGCUAGAAGAUGUAGAAUUUACAAACACUUUGACUGUCACAUGUGGGGGAUUAAGGUAUGUCUGUCAAAGCCAUGAUCAUGUGGGUACCAUGUUAUUAAAAAGAGUACGAAGUUGAAUUUUCAGAAUAUUAGUUGAUUUUUUGUAACUUCAUACUGCAGAUGGGUUUUUGGUCAGAAUCAAUGAUGUCUCUGGAAAUGAUAAAACUUUAUCUCACAAAUGUUUUUUGGUCAGAAUUGAUGGCGUCUCUGGAAAUGAUAAAACUACAUCCUGCAGACUGGGUUUUUGGUCAGAAUCAAUAAUGGCUCUGGAAAUGAUAAAACUUUAUACCGCAAAUGGGUUUUUGGUCAGAAUUGAUGACAUCUCUGGAAAUGAUAAAACUACAUCCUGCAGACUGGGUUUUUGGUCAGAAUCAAUGACAAUCAAUGACGACUCUGGAAAUCCUAAAGUGACAUAUUCCUGCAGUGGCGCCGUGAUUCUUUUACCAACCUUGGUGCUUCCUUGUGAUGCUUACUGUAAAUAUUUAUAAGCUCACCUUAUACUAUACUACUCAGAGGAUGUUCAAAGACAACCAAUUGUGUCCUAUGGUUAUAGGUCAUCUGUCAUGGAUGGUCAAUACUGCAAUAAACUGCCUUUCUUAACCUUU